AAAUCAGUGAACCCCACAAACAUAUGCUGGCUCGAAACUCGAGUGAAGAGAAACCUCAUCACUGAGCUAGCCGGGCCACACUCGAGGAGAUCGAGUCAAUGGGCAGGGACACUUCCAGCAGAGCAGCUUGGGAGCCCAGCUGAGGCCUCACCAGCACUGAAUAGAGGGAAAGGAUCUACAAAGACAUGCCAGAAGGUCAUGUGGCCAUCCAGAGGAACCUCGAAAAGCCUGAGAAAUGGGCUGACAGGAACAUCACCAAGUUCAAGAAGGGGAACCCCCAAGUCCUGUUUCUGGAGAGGAACACUACCAGGCAGGCACCAGAGCAUGCUGCAGGCCUCCUAGCUGGGCUGGAAAGCAGAUGGUCAGGAAAGGCUUGGCACGUCCUGGAGAGCACCAAGAUCAACACAAGCCAAAAUAUGCACCCUUCUGGCAGAGAAGAGCAAAGGGAUCCUGAGUUGUGUUGAGAGUGCAGCCAGCAGGCCAAGGGAGGGGAUCCUUCUCCUCUGCUUAGCACUGGGGAGCACCUCUAGUGCUGGCUCCAGUUUGGGGCUCCUCAGCUCAGAAGAAUGCAGUGAAGGGCUGUGAAGAUGAUGAUGGAGGGACUGGAGCAACUCUGUCGUGAGGAAAGAUGGAGAAAGAUGGAACUAUUGAGCCUGGAGAAGAGAAGGCUUAGGGUGAUCUUAUCCAUGUCUAUAAAUACCAGAAGGGAGGGCACAAAGAAGAGGGAGCCAGGCUCUUCUCAGUGGGCCCAGUGACAUGACCGGAGUGAGCGGUCACAAACUGAAAUACAGGAGAUCCCCUCUAAUCUCCAGGAAACACUUUUUUAUUUUGAGAGUGACCACACACUGGCACAGGUUGCCCAGGGUGGUUGUGAAGUCUUCUUCCUUAAGCUAUUGGAAAACUGCUGAGACACAGUCUUCCUUUUCAUACUUGUUCACAAACUAAAAGAAAAGAAAAUGCAAAAAAGUCCUAUUUGCUAACACGUUAGAAAACAGUAAAACUCUGGUAAUUUUUUUAAUAUAUCUUUUAUUUCCAUUGAUACUUGUUUCAGAAGUAUAUUGGUUUGGUACAUUAUUACCAAAUUAAAUACUUUUAUUACUCAUUCCAGAAAAGAAGGUGCAACUUCAAUUACAUAUUAUGUUUUUCUUAUAGAGUUUAGCAAUAUGACAAAGUAGAUAAUGUACACUUCUUUGCUUAAAACUUCAGUAACUGAAAUUUUCAUGAAUAAGAAAGCUUACAAAGUUCUAUUAUAAUACAUUCUAUUAAUGCCUUUUACUGAGAAAAUUUAAUUAAAGUCAGUAAACUCAUAGAAAGAAUAAAUUGAAAUACGUCUGUUCUGUGCAAUUAGCAAAGUCCUUUCCAAAAAAACCAAAACCCAAGCACCCACAAACCACCAGUACAAAAGGUGUUUGUAGUGACAGCUGACAAAUGAUUGUGAACAGCAUUCUACCUGGGCCAAAUCAAGUGUCUUGUAAAGCAUCAGGAUUAUCUAAUUCCUUACAGAAGUGGCUAUGUCAUGAUAACAUUUUAUGAGGUAUUUAAUGAACAUUUAUAAAGCUGGGAAAGAAGGACAAAGAGUAAAAACUCACAAAAGUAAAUAGUUUACAUCUCCUCUUAUUUUAUAUCUAUUUCCUGGCCUGGGAAAAUUUUUCUUUCCAAACCUGCAUGAUGCACAGUACAUAGCAAAACUCUUUGGAGCAUUAAAAAUUUGUCACACUUAUAAAGCAGAAGUAGCAUGUGCCCACAGCCAAGACUGACAUUGAAUAGUGACAAACUGGUCUCCAUGUCCAGACCUGUUGAUCAUGAUGAAUAAAGGCUGCUGGUGUAGAGGUUACAGAUUGACCUGGAUGGACAGAUGAAGGGGUAAGCACAGGGGCACCUACUGGGACUGUGUAGAACUGUAGUUAGAGAGAGCCUCUGUGCCUGCUGUCCUCCAGAAGAGAAAAACACUCCCACCCAACUUGGCAUCAUCUGUGAAUUACUGAGGGUGCACUCAAUCCCCUUGUCCAGAUCACUGAUAAAGAUACUAAACAGGACUGGGCCCAAGACUGAGCCUUGGGGAUCAGCUGGAUGAACUCCACUUCCCACCACUCUGGGCCCUGCCAUCACCCAGUUUAUCACCAGCAAACAAUGCACCUAUCCAAGCCAUGAGCAGACAGUUUCUUCAGGAGAAUGAUGUGUGACGCAGUGCAAACAGGAUCAGGGAGCUGCCUAGGAAGAGUCUCAGGUGAAUCCAGGAGAAUACAGUACAGGACUGCUCAGCUUUCAAAUCAAUCUUGCUUAAAGAAUUCUACAAAAC